ACGAACGCUGGCGGCGUGCUUAACACAUGCAAGUCGAACGGAAAGGCCCUGCUUUUGUGGGGUGCUCGAGUGGCGAACGGGUGAGUAACACGUGAGUAACCUGCCCUUGACUUUGGGAUAACUUCAGGAAACUGGGGCUAAUACCGGAUAGGAGCUCCUGCUGCAUGGUGGGGGUUGGAAAGUUUCGGCGGUUGGGGAUGGACUCGCGGCUUAUCAGCUUGUUGGUGGGGUAGUGGCUUACCAAGGCUUUGACGGGUAGCCGGCCUGAGAGGGUGACCGGCCACAUUGGGACUGGGAUACGGCCCAGGCUCCUACGGGGGGCAGCAGGGGGGAAUAUUGCACAAUGGGCGGAAGCCUGAUGCAGCAACGCCGGGGGGGGGAGGCCGGCCUUCGGGUUGUAAACCGCUUUCGCCUGUGACGAAGCGUGGGUGACGGUAAUGGGUAAAGAAGCACCGGCUAACUACGU
rnacentral:rRNA from 1 species